rnacentral:rRNA from 1 species
GAGUUUGAUCCUGGCUCAGGAUGAACGCUAGCGGCAGGCUUAACACAUGCAAGUCGAGGGGCAUCGGGAGGGAAGCUUGCUUUCCUUGCCGGCGACCGGCGCACGGGUGAGUAACACGUAUGCAACCUGCCCUCUUCAGGGGGACAACCUUCCGAAAGGGAGGCUAAUCCCGCGUAUAUCGGUUUCGGGCAUCCGAGAUCGAGGAAAGAUUCAUCGGAAGAGGAUGGGCAUGCGGCGCAUUAGCUUGACGGCGGGGUAACGGCCCACCGUGGCGACGAUGCGUAGGGGUUCUGAGAGGAAGGUCCCCCACACUGGUACUGAGACACGGACCAGACUCCUACGGGAGGCAGCAGUGAGGAAUAUUGGUCAAUGGGAGAGAUCCUGAACCAGCCAAGCCGCGUGAGGGAAGACGGCCCUAUGGGUUGUAAACCUCUUUUGCGGAGAACAAAACCCGGGACGUGUCCCGGACUGCGUGUAUCCGAAGAAAAAGCAUCGGCUAACUCCGUG